AGGAAAAAUUGAAAAAUUCGGAGUCUGCACUCGGAGGGGUUCUAGGUAUAUGUGUAUUGAUUAUUGGUGCACUGCUCCUUUGGAUUUUCAUGUACAUAUACACCUCUAAAACACCAGAACAGAGAUUCCAGUGUGUGAGAAGGGCUAUCAACAGGGGUGAUGAGACUGAUGGUGUAAGCAGGAAUCAUCUGGAGGAUGAAAUCAAUAAUCUUCAGGAGCAAGUGUUACAUCUGCAGCAAGAAAACGAGCGUUUGGAAGAAGAAAAUAGACGUCUGAGAGGAGAAGUUGAUAACGAACCUCAGAGACCAAACUCAGCUGGCAACCGCUGCUGCAUUUCAUGUGGAAAUUAUCCCAAGAAUUAAUCUGAAUAUGAAUCUGAAGAUACAUUGGUUCACUCAAUUAUAAUAUAACACUCAUGUAACAGUCUCAGUCUUAUAUGGUUGCAUUUGAUUCACGUCACCAGCGAAUGUUACAACUCCUUUGUCUUUUUGAGGGUUUUUCAGUGUCUAUUGGUAGGAUGUUUAGCACUGAUGCUUCAAGAGAAAGAACAUCAGAUCUGCAGAGAGUUCACCUUCAUCAAUCUGUUGAAGACAAAAGGAUUUUCAGCUUUUAUUUACAAUGAAUUUGAGUAUUUUUAAAUUAG